GAUCCUGGCUCAGAAUCAACGCUGGCGGCGUGCCUAACACAUGCAAGUCGAACGCGAAAGGGACUUCGGUCCUGAGUAGAGUGGCGAACGGGUGAGUAACACGUGGGUGAUCUACCUCUGAGUGGGGGAUAACGUUCCGAAAGGAGCGCUAAUACCGCAUGAAGUUCCGGGUUUGAAGACCGGGAAACCAAAGUCGGGGACCGCAAGGCCUGACGCUUGGAGAGGAGCCCGCGCCUGAUUAGCUAGUUGGCGGGGUAAUGGCCCACCAAGGCGACGAUCAGUAGCCGGCCUGAGAGGGCGGACGGCCACACUGGGACUGAGACACGGCCCAGACUCCUACGGGAGGCAGCAGUGGGGAAUUGUUCGCAAUGGGCGCAAGCCUGACGACGCAACGCCGCGUGGAGGAUGAAGGUCUUCGGAUCGUAAACUCCUGUUGAUCGGGACGAAAAGCUUCGACCUAACACGUCGAAGACUGACGGUACCGGUUGAGGAAGCCACGGCUAACUCUGUGCCAGCAGCCGCGGUAAUACAGAGGUGGCAAGCGUUGUUCGGAAUUACUGGGCGUAAAGGGCGCGUAGGCGGCCUUCUAAGUCGGACGUGAAAGCCCCAGGCUUAACCUGGGAACUGCGUCCGAUACUGGGAGGCUUGGAUUCGGGAGAGGGAUGUGGAAUUCCAGGUGUAGCGGUGAAA
rnacentral:rRNA from 1 species